rnacentral:rRNA from 1 species
UUCGAUUCUGGCUCAGAGCGAACGCUGGCGGCAGGCUUAAUACAUGCAAGUCGAGCGGGCGUAGCAAUACGUCAGCGGCAGACGGGUGAGUAACGCGUGGGAACGUGCCCUUUGGUUCGGAACAACACAGGGAAACUUGUGCUAAUACCGGAUAAGCCCUUACGGGGAAAGAUUUAUCGCCGAAGGAUCGGCCCGCGUCUGAUUAGCUAGUUGGUGAGGUAAUGGCUCACCAAGGCGACGAUCAGUAGCUGGUCUGAGAGGAUGAUCAGCCACACUGGGACUGAGACACGGCCCAGACUCCUACGGGAGGCAGCAGUAGGGAAUAUUGGACAAUGGGGGCAACCCUGAUCCCAGCCAUGCCGCGUGAGUGAUGAAGGCCUUAGGGUUGUAAAGCUCUUUUGUGCGGGAAGAUAAUGACGGUACCGCAAGAAUAAGCCCCGGCUAACUUCGUGCCAGCCGCGGC